AAAACCAGAAACGUAGCUUCACCCUCACAAACAAUUGUUUGCUUCUCUUCUUCCUCUCAGGAGCGAGGAAGGGAAGAAAAGCUGCAGCAUUCAGUUUCCUGCGAUCUCCGAUUUCAAUCUUCUAAGCAUUAGGAUCUUUGCUCUUCUUCAUCUUUUUAAUCUUUUUUAUUUUUCGCAGGAUUUCCCUGAGUUUUAGGUUUUCAAGUUAAUUGCUUCAUUAUUUCUUCUUCUUCCUUUAUUAUUACUUUUUCUUUUGUUUUUGACAAAUGGAUGCAGGAUCUUUUGGUUCUUCUCUCUUCUCUUUCACUGAAAAGCGUCCGCCAAGAUGUCGCAAACCCUUCGGGAAUCUUGGAUCCACUGUCUACAUCCCGCCUCUCCGCAGUUCUUCCUCCAAUCCAUCUUCUUACUGGCAAAGCGGCGACAGGUUCAUACCAGAUAGAUCUGCAAUGGAUUUUGAUGUUGCCCGGUACUUGUUAACGCAACCCAGAAAAGAAAAGGAGAACCUUGGAGUUGUUUCACCUGCAAAAGAGGCCUAUCGUAAGCUUCUCGCUGAGACACUUCUGAAUAACAGAACCAGAAUCUUGGCAUUCAGCAGACAGCCUCCAGCUUCUAAUGAUUCGAUGCUCUCUGCAAUUUCUGAAGCUUCUUCUUCCAACCAAAGGCAGAAUUCUAAACGCAAAAGAUACAUUCCACAGUCUGCAGAGAGAACAUUAGAUGCUCCAGAUCUGGUGGAUGACUUCUAUCUAAAUGUGCUUGAUUGGGGAAGCAGAAAUAUCCUGUCCAUUGCUCUCGGAAACACUGUAUAUCUGUGGAAUGCUUCUAAAAGUUCGACUUCUGAGCUUGUGACUGUCGACGAUGAUCUUGGUCCGGUUACCAGUGUCAGCUGGGCUCCUGAUGGUCUGCACAUUGCCAUUGGAUUGAACAACUCCUAUGUUCAAUUGUGGGACUCAAACUCAGCUAAAUUGUUGAGAACGCUGAAUGAAAUCCAUCGCUCUCGUGUCGGAUCUCUUGCCUGGAACAACAAUAUCCUCACCAGUGGUGGAAUGGAUGGAAAGAUUGUGAACAAUGACGUGAGGAUAAGAAACCAUGUAGUCAAAAGCUACAGAGGACACCAGCAAGAAGUAUGUGGCUUGAAAUGGUCAGAAUCUGGGAAGCAACUGGCAAGUGGUGGCAAUGACAACCUGCUUCACAUAUGGGAUCAAGCCAUGACAGCCUCCUCUUCUUCCUCAGCCCGGAAUCAAAACCCAUGGCUUCAUAGAUUUGAGGACCACAAUGCUGCAGUAAAGGCUUUGGCUUGGUGCCCAUUUCAGAGCAAUCUGCUUGCUUCAGGUGGAGGGGAAAAUGAUAAAUGCAUAAAGUUCUGGAACACCGCAACUGGUGCUUGCUUGAAUUCGGUAGAAACAGAUUCCCAGGUUUGUGGGCUGCUAUGGAACAAAAAUGAGCAGGAGCUUCUGAGUACUCAUGGUUACAUUCAGAACCAGCUCACAUUGUGGAAGUAUCCAUCCAUGUCUAAGCUUGCUGAGCUCCGCGGCCAUACUUCUAGAGUUCUAUAUAUGACUCAGAGCCCAUAUGGCGGCACGGUGGCGACGGCUGCUGGGGAUGAAACGCUGAGGUUUUGGAAUGUGUUUGGGAGACCGGAAGUGGAUAAGCCUGCUGCUAAAAAACCAUAUUCAGAACCGUUUGCUAAUUACAGCCGCAUCAGAUGAGGAGAGUUUUGCAUGCGCGACAAAGAAGAUGAACCAGAUGAACCAAAUCGUAAAUUUUGGUGAAAGCAUGCACGGAUUCGUUUGAAGAAGUUUGUAGAUGAUUGAAGCAAAAUCAUUAAUACUGGCGAA